GUGCAAACUCUCUCUUUUUCGCUGCUUUUUGGCGAUUAAGCAUGCGGUGAAGUUGCUAAGUGCUAACGGUAUUCAUUUUCCGACUUGAGAGAGGUCCUGAUUUGAUUUGAGUGAGUCCUGAUUCUUGCUUCCACCUGCCUGCUCAUUGCACUGUAUAACAGAUCCUGGGUGUGACAGCUGUUUCCUAACUCAUUGAUGUGGUGUAGACGGCACUGCUGAGCUUGCCCGUGACUGACGCAUUUGGGUGAUGGCUGCACCAGUAAAACUGCGGAUUAUCCUUGGUUCCAACAAUGCUGAAA